rnacentral:rRNA from 1 species
UCCGUAGGCGGGCGUCUAAGUCAGUGGUGAAAUCUUACAGCUCAACUGUAAAAUUGCCAUUGAUACUGGAUGUCUUGAAUUAGUGUGAAGUGGUUAGAAUGUGUAGUGUAGCGGUGAAAUGCAUAGAUAUUACACAGAAUACCAAUUGCGAAGGCAGAUCACUAACACUAUAUUGACGCUGAGGGACGAAAGCGUGGGGCACAAACCGGAUUAGAUACCCGAGUAGUCC